rnacentral:lncRNA from 1 species
UAUGUACCUUAGGACAAGAUGAAAAGUUAGAACUACCUACAUGAUAUUGUUGAAAUUUUGUAUGGAGGAUUACCUGGCAUUUUUGCUUGUUUGUAUGUAUGGAUGGCUGGUUGCAUGUAUGUAUGAUUUUAUCUCUGUACUUUUCAUAUCCUUCUCUCUCACUCUGUCUCUUUAUAUAUAUAUAUAUAUAUAUAUAUAUAUAUAUAUAUAUAUAUAUAUAUAUAUAUAUAUAUAUAUAUAUAUAUAUAUAUAUAUGUAUGUAUGUAUAAUUUAUAUAUAUAUGUAUGUAUGUAUGCAUAUAUAUAUAUAUAUAUAUAUAUAUAUAUAUAUUUAUAUACAUAUAUAUAUAUAUAUAUAUAUAUAUAUAUAUAUAUAUAUAUAUAUAUAUAUAUAUAUAUAUAUAUAUAUAUAUAUAUAUAUACCUGCGUAAUCAGAUAAAAACCAAGGGUGUGUAGAUAUUAGAACAUUUACAUAUAGAAGCGCGCGCAUAUGCACACAUACACACACAACAUGCACGUAUUCAUUGUCAUGUUUUAUAUGUUAGUUCAUUUUCUCUAUAAUGCAGGAAUCGGUUUGUAACUUUUUAUGCGGGAAAAGGUAAAGAUUGUAUCACUGGGAAAUGGAUAACCAUGUUGCUCACCAUUAGAUAAGAAAUUUCAGAACAGUUCCGUUGACGAAUUUCUCUUCGCAACGUACAUAAGUGCUGAUCACUUACACCGUUUUUUUUUUUUUGUUUUUUUUCUGUUUUAUUUUCAUCUUUUUAUUUCGAAAAUCUGUGGUUAUUCCUAAUUGAGGUACUUAAAUAUUUAUUGACUUAUCCGAGUAUACCAAUAAUCAUUAAUAUUAAAUUAUAUUUAUAAUCAGGCGCGAGUAUGUGGUAAGCAGUUUGCUUCUCGCCAACCACAUGGUUACGGUUUCAGUCCCAUUGCAUUGCUGCAUGGACAAAUGUCUUUUAAUGUAGCCCCGGGCUGUCCAAAUACUUGUGGGUGGAUUUGAUAGGAAAACUGUAGGAUUACCAACGUAUUUACAUGUAUAUGUGUGUGUUUGUGAGCCUGUUCGUGCGCGCUUGUGUGCAUGUAUGUAUCUUUGUGUGUAUGUUUAUCCUGUGUAACUGUUUAACAACUGGUGCAUACAAACUUAUAUACAUACUUACGUGCAUGCAUACAUACUUGCAUAGAUAGAUAGAUAGAUAGAUAGAUAGAUAGAUAGAUAGAUACAUACAUACAUACAUACAUACAUACAUACAUACAUACAUACAUACAUAUAUACAUACAUACAUACAUACAUACAUACAUACAUAUAUGAACGCAUAUACAUAUAUAUAUAUACAGAUAACACCUCAUUAUGCUAAGCAUUAAAGACCGAGAUGAGGCAUGUCCUGCUUGAGGAUCAAUUAAGAAAUAGUAAAAUAGACCGACGUGGAGGCGCGUGGCUUAGUGGUUAGGGUGUCAGCAUCAUGAUCGUAAAAUUGUGCUUUCGAUUCCUGGACCGGGCGAAGCAUUGUGUCCUUGAGUAACACACUUCAUUUGACGUUACUCCAGUCCACUCAGCUGGCAAAAUGAGUAACGCUGCGAUGGACUGGCGUCCCGUCCAGCUGGGGAACACAUACCCCAUUGAAACCGGGAAACCGGGCCCAUGAGCCUGGCUAGGCUUUAAAAGGGCGCAUUUAUUUUAAUUUUAAAAUAUACCCACCAGGAGUUUCCGCUCAUUUUUAUUUUUACCAUACAUCGACAGCAUAUGUAUUGUGUUUUAUCACAGCUAAUAGCUUCCUAAUAUUCAAAUUUAUCUGCUUCUGAUCCAAACUGCGUUACGCCUAACACGCAUAAAUAUAUAUGCAUACGUCAUUAUAUAGAUAUAUACAUACGUGCAAAUAUACACACAUACCUAUAUAUGCAUAUGCAUACACGCACAUCCAAACACAUACAUUUACGUAUAAUGUAUGGCUGCAGUGAAAUAACUGAAACAAGUAAAAGAAUAAAAGACUAAAAGAAUAUGUGUGUGUAGACUUUGCCUUUCAUCCUUUCGGGGUCGAUAAAUUAAGUACCAGUCAUGCACUGGGGUCGACAUAAUCGACUUACUCCGUUUGUCUGUCCUUGUUUGUCCCCUCUGUGUGUAGCCCCUUGUGGGUAGUAAAGAAAUAAGAAUAUGUGUGUGUGUGUGUGCAUGUGUGUAUGUGUGUGGGUGUAUGUGUGUGUGUGUGCAUGUGUGUAUGUGUGUGUAUGUGUGUGUUUGUGCGUGCGUGCUUGUGUGUAAUACAUUGAUGAACAUACAUUCACGUACGCAUGUACAUCCAUGUCUUUCAGAACAUAAAAGAUAAAUAUUCUGCAGGCAGACCGUUCAGUAAUCGAUUAAAUAUAGACUAGUAUUUGAUUGAUACGAUUGUUAUUUAAUUUAUCGAUACGUGAAGCAUGAAAGAAUGAGUCUUAUCUCGAGUGAUUCGUUCACAGACUAUAAAGGGACGUAAGUAAACGCCUCAGAUCCAGUUGCUUCCUGUUGCAAC